AUCCCCGGGUCAGGAGAGAGUGCCAGGCCCCCGGGGCCAGCGCACCGCCGAAGGCGCAGGCAGCGGCCGAACGCUCAGGCAAAAGGACUGGCAGGC
rnacentral:ncRNA from 2 species